ensembl:lncRNA
CCUGUGUAGAUAUAAAGGAUCGAAAGCGAUGGCCACCGGAUGGCACGUCAAAGCCAAAACAUCUUGGUCCACCAGGGCCCCGGGGGAGUCUGGAGCCUAUCCGAAGGAACUCGGGACACAAGAACUCGGGUUCCAACCCAUCACAUGGCACAUUCACACAAUACGGACAAUUUUGAAAUGCCAAUCAGCCUACAACGCAUGUCUUUGGACUCAGGGAGGAAACUGGAGUACCCGGAGGGAACCCCUGAAGCACUGGGAGAACACGCAUACUCUGCACACACAGGGCGGAGGCGGGAUUCAAACCUCCAAACCUCGGAGGCGCGAGGCAAACAUGCUAACCACUAAGCCAGUUGGUCGUAGACAUAAUUAGGCUCAAGUCUCCAUAGCUGCUUUGUGACGUUGUCUAUUGUUAAAAGCAUCACACACACACACACACACACACACACACACAAAUGAAAUUCAAAACCCCUUAUUAUAUCAUGUACUUGUUUUGUUAGUGAUGGGAUGAUUGCAGGAUGUGGAGAGUCACCGCACAGGGUGGAAGCUUAUCGUAAAUGCGUAUUAUUCGUUUAAAAUGUUUAAAAAAAAUUGUGCACAGCCCAAACUGUCAAUACGAUGAGGCUCACUGUGCGAUCAAUUGACCAAUAAGAAUAAUAGUUUAGAGACUACAGAGAAUUGUUAACACUGAUUUCUUCCACCCAGUCCUGUUCUGGUGUCCUGUCUAGUCAGCAUGCACAGUUGUAUAUUUUGAACACUGGUGUGUGUUUGUGUGUGUGUAAUCCUGUGCUGCAUUACGUACUACUGUAUCGUGUGUGGCGCCUGUGUUAAAUUCCCGAAGAAACAACAUUUUGUUCCACUGUGUACAGGUUCUCCGAGGCGGAAUGGCAGAAAAUAAGGGGAAAUGUACGGGAGAUAUCAUUAUAGCUCAGGCUAGUAGGGGUGUCAUGAAAAGACACUCUUAGUAUCUGUUUAGUGCUCUGUAUCUGUAUUUGAAUUUAACACGUUAACGAGAAGGCCCACCAAAACCCUGGAAAAAACGGGAUUCCGGCUCUGACAAUUCGUCAACCUCAGCUACGUCGCUCGAGUUCAUAAUCGGUCUCGCGGUUGUUCUUUUGGUUCGUACUUGCUUGCAAUAUUUUCAAACUUUUUUCUCAAAACAAACUAGUAGCCUAAAUGAACCAACACAGCCCAGACUAAGUGGUUACCUCACGUCGACGUUAACAAACGUGGUCUGUCUUUGCCGCAAGAGCAUCAUAUCUGACCACGGUAAAUACCGUGGUGAGAAAGAAGAGCGUCUGUAUGGAAACUGUAUGGCUAUAAACAACGUAACUUCUACUAGAAACUUCUGCUUCAUAAUGUACGUUUAUAGGCGAGAUCUGUUAUUCUGAUCUGACCUAUUCUCGUUUCGCAGCGCUACAUUGUUCCGCACUGUUUCUAAUUAAAGCUCUGCCGUGAAGGUUUGCCCGCUGCACCACACCCUCCGGCAGCCACCGUCUAAAAUCAGAUUAGCAAGCGGUGUCCCAACAGACACAUGAUUUAUCUCGUGUACACUUAUCUCCCUGUAAGUGAAGGAAAUCCACAGUAAAGGAGAAUAAAACCACACCACAGUCACGCCACCAGCCUGAGAGAAAUGAAACGCCGCUUUUACAGCUUUUACUGAAAAUAAAAGAAAAA